UGGGGAUUUUUCCGCAAUGGGCGAAAGCCUGACGGAGCAACGCCGCGUGCGGGAUGACGCCUUUCGGGGUGUAAACCGCUUUUGUCAGGGACGAAGGCUAGAGUAAUCCGGUGAGACGGUACCUGGCGAAGAAGGUCCGGCUAACUACGUGCCAGCAGCCGCGGUAAUACGUGGGGACCGAGCGUUGUCCGGAGUUACUGGGCGUAAAGGGCGUGCAGGUGGCUUGGUAAGCUUGGCGUGAAAGCCCCCGGCCCAACCGGGGAGGGUCGUCGAGGACUGUCAGGCUUGAGGGGCGCAGGGGUCGGUGGAAUUCCGGGUGUAGUGGUGAAAUGCGUAGAGAUCCGGAGGAACACCAGUGGCGAAGGCGGCCGACUGGGCGCACCCUGACACUGAGACGCGAAGGCGUGGGGAGCGAAAGGGAUUAGAUACCCCUGUAGUC
rnacentral:rRNA from 1 species